rnacentral:rRNA from 1 species
UACAGAGGGGGCAAGCGUUGUUCGGAAUUACUGGGCGUAAAGGGCGCGUAGGCGGCCAACUAAGUCCGACGUGAAAUCCCCAGGCUUAACCUGGGAACUGCGUCGGAUACUGGAUGGCUUGAAUUCGGGAGAGGGAUGCAGAAUUCCAGGUGUAGCGGUGAAAUGCGUAGAUAUCUGGAGGAAUACCGGUGGCGAAGGCGGCAUCCUGGACCGACAUUGACGCUGAUGAGCGAAAGCUAGGGGAGCAAACGGG